UGACCUCGGAUCAGGUAGGAAUACCCGCUGAACUUAAGCAUAUCAAUAAGCGGAGGAAAAGAAACCAACAGGGAUUGCCUUAGUAACGGCGAGUGAAGCGGCAACAGCUCAAAUUUGAAAUCUGGCUACUUUGUAGUCCGAGUUGUAAUUUGUAGAGGAUGCUUUUGGUGAGGUGCUUUCUGAGUUCCCUGGAACGGGACGCCAGAGAGGGUGAGAGCCCCGUACAGUUAGCAACUGAUCCUUUGUAUAGCUCCUUCGACGAGUCGAGUAGUUUGGGAAUGCUGCUCUAAAUGGGAGGUAUAUCUCUUCUAAAGCUAAAUAUAGGCUAGAGACCGAUAGCGCACAAGUAGAGUGAUCGAAAGAUGAAAAGCACUUUGAAAAGAGAGUUAAACAGCACGUGAAAUUGUUGAAAGGGAAGCGCCUAUGACCAGACUUGUUUCUAUCAGUUUUGGUAGUUUUCGGACUGCUUUACUCUGUUAGUACAGGCCAACAUCAGUUUGUUGUCGGGGAGAAAGGCUUAGGGAAUGUGGC
rnacentral:rRNA from 1 species